AACGAACGCUGGCGGCAUGCCUAACACAUGCAAGUCGAACGAGACCUUCGGGUCUAGUGGCGCACGGGUGCGUAACGCGUGGGAAUCUGCCCUUGGGUUCGGAAUAACAGUUAGAAAUGACUGCUAAUACCGGAUGAUGUCUUCGGACCAAAGAUUUAUCGCCCAGGGAUGAGCCCGCGUAGGAUUAGCUAGUUGGUGGGGUAAAGGCCUACCAAGGCGACGAUCCUUAGCUGGUCUGAGAGGAUGAUCAGCCACACUGGGACUGAGACACGGCCCAGACUCCUACGGGAGGCAGCAGUGGGGAAUAUUGGACAAUGGCGAAAGCCUGAUCCAGCAAUGCCGCGUGAGUGAUGAAGGCCUUAGGGUUGUAAAGCUCUUUUACCCGGGAUGAUAAUGACAGUACCGGGAGAAUAAGACCCCGGCUAACUCCGUGCCAGCAGCC
rnacentral:rRNA from 1 species